rnacentral:tRNA from 1 species
UCCGGCGUCGUUCAAUGGUAGGACUGCGGACUUUGGAUCCGUCUAUGCUGGUUCGAAUCCAGCCGCCGGAG